rnacentral:rRNA from 1 species
UACGGAGGGUGCGAGCGUUGUCCGGAUUUAUUGGGUUUAAAGGGUGCGCAGGCGGCCUGAUAAGUCAGCGGUGAAAUACUCCGGCUCAACCGGAGGGGUGCCGUUGAUACUGUUUGGCUUGAGUGCGGUCUACGUACAUGGAAUUUAUGGUGUAGCGGUGAAAUGCAUAGAUACCAUAAGGAACACCGAUAGCGAAGGCAUUGUACGGGGCCGUAACUGACGCUGAGGCACGAAAGCGUGGGUAG